rnacentral:rRNA from 1 species
UACGUAGGGGGGCGAGCGUUGUCCGGAUUUAUUGGGGCGUAAAGAGCUCGUAGGCGGCUUGGCAAGUCGGGUGUGAAACCUCCAGGCUCAACCUGGAGACGCCACUCGAUACUGCUAUGGCUAGAGUCCGGUAGGGGACCACGGAAUUCCUGGUGUAGCGGUGAAAUGCGCAGAUAUCAGGAGGAACACCCGUGGCGAAGGCGGCUUCUGGGACGGUACUGACGUCUGAGACGCGAAGCGUGGGAGCGAACAGG